CAGCACCUCAAGUGGUCAGGAUGAUUAUUGGGCCUAAAGCAUCCGUAGCCGGCGCUGUAAGUUUUCGGUUAAAUCUGUAUGCUCAACAUACAGGCUGCCGGGAAUACUGCAGAGCUAGGGAGUGGGAGAGGUAGACGGUACUCGGUAGGAAGGGGUAAAAUCCUUUGAUCUAUUGAUGACCACCUGUGGCGAAGGCGGUCUACCAGAACACGUCCGACGGUGAGGGCUGAAAGCUGGGGGAGCAAACCGGAUUAGAUACCCGAGUAGUCC
rnacentral:rRNA from 1 species